GGCAAACCUACACGAUGUGCAUUGUUAUAAUUUUAAUAUAAUAUUAUAUUUUUUAUUAAAAAUAAAUAUACUAGUUGACAAUUAACAAAAUAUUAGAUAUUAACUAAAUUUUAUCCUUAUAUUCUAAUGCAAAAUAGAGUAAUAUCUAAAUGCAAAACUAUUUUGACAUCCAAACAAAAUACGUCUUUUCAACGAUAAAAAUAAAUAAAUAAAAAUAAAAG
rnacentral:misc_RNA from 1 species